rnacentral:tRNA from 1 species
AGAGAUGUAGCUCAGUGGUAGAGCGCUUGCUUAGCAUGCUUGAGGCCCUGGGAUUGGUCCCCAGUAUUGCAU